rnacentral:rRNA from 1 species
GGCUCAGGACGAACGCUGGCGGCGUGCCUAAUACAUGCAAGUCGAGCGAAUCGACGGGAGCUUGCUCCCUGAGAUUAGCGGCGGACGGGUGAGUAACACGUGGGCAACCUGCCUAUAAGACUGGGAUAACUUCGGGAAACCGGAGCUAAUACCGGAUACGUUCUUUUCUCGCAUGAGAGAAGAUGGAAAGACGGUUUACGCUGUCACUUAUAGAUGGGCCCGCGGCGCAUUAGCUAGUUGGUGAGGUAAUGGCUCACCAAGGCGACGAUGCGUAGCCGACCUGAGAGGGUGAUCGGCCACACUGGGACUGAGACACGGCCCAGACUCCUACGGGAGGCAGCAGUAGGGAAUCUUCCGCAAUGGACGAAAGUCUGACGGAGCAACGCCGCGUGAACGAAGAAGGCCUUCGGGUCGUAAAGUUCUGUUGUUAGGGAAGAACAAGUACCAGAGUAACUGC